GAUGAAGAACGCAGCGAAAUGCGAUACUUGGUGUGAAUUGCAGAAUCCCGUGAACCAUCGAGUCUUUGAACGCAAGUUGCGCCCGAAGCCAUUAGGCCGAGGGCACGCCUGCCUGGGCGUCACACGUCGUUGCCCCCCAUCUGCUCCUUCGGGAUUGCGGGGGGCGGAUGAUGGCCUCCCGUGCGCCUCGUCGCGCGGUUGGCAUAAAUGCCAAGUCCUCGGCGACGCACGCCACGACAAUCGGUGGUUGCGAAACCUCGGUUGCCCGUCGUGUGCGGUCGUCGCGCAUCGAGGGCUCGAAAAAAUUGCCGGGCUCCGGCUCGGCUUUCAACGCGACCCCAGGUCAGGCGGGGUUACCCGCUGAAUUUAAGCAUAUCAAUAAGCGGAGGA
rnacentral:misc_RNA from 1 species